UACGUAGGUGACGAGCGUUAUCCGGAAUUACUGGGCGUAAAGCGCACGCAAGCGGUUGGACAAGUCUGGCGUGAAAUCUCCUGGCUUAACUAGGAGCGGUCGCUGGAAACUGUUCGGCUUGAGGCGAUGAGAGGGGUGCAGAAUUCCCGGUGUAGUGGUGGAAUGCGUAGAGAUCGGGAGGAAUACCAGUGGCGAAAGCGGCACCCUGGCGUCGUACUGACGCACAUGUGCGAAAGCGUGGGGAGCGAUCCGG
rnacentral:rRNA from 1 species